AUUGAACGCUGGCGGCAGGCCUAACACAUGCAAGUCGAGCGAGCGGCGGACGGGUGAGUAAUGUCUGGGAAACUGCCUGAUGGAGGGGGCUACCUACUGGAAACGGUAACUAAUACCGCAUACCAUCAGAUGUGCCCAGGUGGGAUUAGCUAGUAGGUGGGGUAACGGCUCAGCUAGGCGACGAUCCCUAGCGGGUCUGAGAGGAUGACCAGCCACACUGGAACUGAGACACGGUCCAGACUCCUACGGGAGGCAGCAGUGGGGAAUAUUGGACAAUGGGCGCAAGCCUGAUGCAGCCAUGCCGCGUGUGUGAAGAAGGCCUUCGGGUUGUAAAGCACUUUCAGCGGGGAGGCGUUACCCGCAGAAGAAGCACCGGCUAACUCCGUGCCAGCAGCCGCGGUAAUUC
rnacentral:rRNA from 1 species